GGACAGAAGUUAUUCCGGAUUUUAAGCCAGAAGUGCUUAAUGAUGCACUGAUGUUGGAUAAUUUGGAAUUGGAAGAGUCAUGCCAGAAGCUGUGCAGGACUUCAGUUAUAAACUUUUUGCUCACAGAAAAUGGUGAAGGACAACGUUGUGCUGCAAAAGCCAAACCCUACAGCACAAAACCUGGGUGACUGAGGGAAACAAAUACUCAGAAAGGGGUGACUGGGGAUGGAAACCUGGUUAAGACACGUCAGGAACAGGAAAUGAAGCUUCAAACUUAUCAGGGUUUCGUUCCCUGACAAACCCAAAAGCGUGAUGGUAAAGAAAGAGAACUCCUUUGAUUUAAAUAUUCAGAUUUAUAAAAUGAAACCACUUUGCAGGACACAAAUCCACAACUAAUGGACCUUUUCAUGUCCACCAGGAGAACGUUUCAGCUGCGCCGAGGGCUGAAAAGACUCGAAAGACUAUUUUAAAGUCCUCUGUGCUCAGUGACAAGACAGAAGGGAACUCUUUCAGCUGUGAAUUAUUGGGCAGGUUGUUUGUGCACCACUUAGUCAAGGAGACUGCAAGGAUUAUAAUUAACACCUGUGUUAUUAAUUUGGGUCUUCCUUAAUUCCUACCUGUUUGUAGGGCAGAUCUGAGAUAAGAGAGGCUGCAGUUUUUACCCCAGAGCUCUGCUGAGGUGAAGUUAUGCUGAUUUAUGAGAGCCUGACAGAGUAGGAAUGCAGCAGGAGAGGAAACCCUCAGAGUUGUUUGAAGUCCUGAGUUUGAUUUAGGCUUUUCCUUAAAAGCUGAGUGAUCUUGGUGAAAAUAAUCCACAGCUGGGUCCUUUAGGAGGCUGGAAUCCCAACCUGGCUCCACCCUCCUGGCAGGGAGUUGUAGGGACUGAGAAGAUCCCCCCUGAGCCUCCUUUUCUCCAGGGAAUUCCCUGCACUCUCACAGGAUGCAAGGGACACACAAGAUUGUUUAACCUCAAAAACCAGUUCUUUUAAUAUAGAUUUAUAUUUUUUAAAAAAUAAUUUAGAAUAAAUUUCCUGCACUGCC